AUUGAACGCUGGCGGCAUGCCUUACACAUGCAAGUCGAACGGCAGCACGGGUGCUUGCACCUGGUGGCGAGUGGCGAACGGGCGAGUAAUACAUCGGAACAUGUCCUGUAGUGGGGGAUAGCCCGGCGAAAGCCGGAUUAAUACCGCAUACGAUCUACGGAUGAAAGCGGGGGACCUUCGGGCCUCGCGCUAUAGGGUUGGCCGAUGGCUGAUUAGCUAGUUGGUGGGGUAAAGGCCUACCAAGGCGACGAUCAGUAGCUGGUCUGAGAGGACGACCAGCCACACUGGGACUGAGACACGGCCCAGACUCCUACGGGAGGCAGCAGUGGGGAAUUUUGGACAAUGGGCGAAAGCCUGAUCCAGCAAUGCCGCGUGUGUGAAGAAGGCCUUCGGGUUGUAAAGCACUUUUGUCCGGAAAGAAAUCCUUGGCUCUAAUACAGUCGGGGGAUGACGGUACCGGAAGAAUAAGCACCGGCUAACUACGUG
rnacentral:rRNA from 1 species